GGGUGGCUAUGGAGAGGCGUACUGCAGAGACACCUGGACGCGCACUGUGACAGGCGCCAUUCUGACACACGUGCUCUCUCACUCCCAAACACCACGGGCCGCAAGCGCUCACACCCACACUCACCUGCAGGGACCACGUGGGAGAAUUUGAAGGGCUGAUCCUGUCCCGGUGCAUUCGCAGUAGCAAUGAUGCGAGAAUUCGUUUUAACCUCGUCACUGACUGGACUAGACUGUAAACUCCUUGGCGUCUGGGAUGGCUCAGCCGUGCCCAGCACCAAGUGCAGGCACUCAAACCCCUGUGGAGUGCCUCAGACUACUUCACCAUAGUCAUAAAUCCUGUCACAUCCCAGUGAUGCAGUUCAUGAGUCUCUUAAUCUAGCCUGAACUCUACUUUUGCAUUCAGACAGGCAGGGGAUGCCUCAUCCUUUGAAUACUGGCACAUUAAGAGCAGUGACAUAGGUAAGAACUGAACCCAAGCACUAUAAGAGAGGAUGUUAAGCAAGAUCUAAAAAUCAACGUGAUCAACAAGAGCAGUAAUCUUUUCUUUUCCAAGAAAAAAGAAUGGAAGAAACAGAAGGUACUGGGCGCAAUGUAUUAAACACUGUGUUUUGAAUGACUCGAGAUUCUACGACUGCCUGGAGGGGUUUUGCUGGAUCGGUGCAAUGUCAUGUGAUUAUUGGAAAUUAAUCCCUUUUUUCAAGAAUUUUUCAAGAAUUAGGUUAAGUUAGAUUUGAGCAAACUUAAUUACCUUGCCAGGCAUUUGUUUUUCAGAAACAUAAUAAUCUAUGUAUUUGAUUCAAUUAGUAGUAGGCCCAUGGGUUGUUCUGUAA
rnacentral:lncRNA from 1 species